UCUUGCAACAUUUAUUCUGAUUAAGUUGGUAAGAUUGGACAUAUCGAUUCGGUCUUGUGUCUGAAUAUCUGAAUCAUGCUUAGAAAAUGGCUGCCUAUAGAUACCAACUCAAUAUAGCAAAUAUAAUCAUUAAUUUUAUCUUGAUUGUUAAUCACAUUAUCCUCCAAAAAUAAUUGUUUUUAUUCUUUAUCAAGGUUGUUUGAGUCAUAAAAUAAGUCAAAACUUAGCGUUUACGACAUUACCACAACUAUGGAGUUGAUGUGAAUAGCGUGUUCAUGAUUGUUUAUGGUUGAGAAGGUCGCUUUGAGACAAAAUACAGUUGAUGUGAAGCCAAACUGAUGAAUAUUCGUUGAAGGUGGAUCUAGAAGGUAGUGCGGGGACUGAUGCUGCUCGAAUUGGACUUCAAGGAGGCCUGGGGUUGUCGCGUGCAUACUCCAUCCAGGAUUACUGCAUAAGAG